rnacentral:rRNA from 1 species
UAAAGGAGAGAUCCGGCAUAGGAUGGACAUGCGUCGCAUUAGGUAGACGGCGGGGUAACGGCCCACCGUGCCGACGAUGCGUAGGGGUUCUGAGAGGAAGGCCCCCCACACUGGUACUGAGACACGGACCAGACUCCUACGGGAGGCAGCAGUGAGAAAUAUUGGUCAAUGGCCGAGAGGCUGAACCAGCCAAGUCGCGUGAGGGAAGAAUGUCCUAAGGAUUGUAAACCUCUUUUGUCGGGGAGCAAAAAGGCUCUGCGGAGUCGUAUUGAGAGUACCCGAAGAAAAAGCAUCGGCUAACUCCGUGCCAGCAGCCGCGGUAAUACGGAGGGUGCGAGCGUUAUCCGGAUUUAUUGGGUUUAAAGGGUGCGCAGGCGGCGUGUCAAGCAAGCGGUAAAAUAGCGGGGCUCAACCCCGUCGAGCCGUUUGAACUGGCGUGCUUGAGUUCAGGCGAGAUAGGCGGAAUUCGUGGUGUAGCGGUGAAAUGCAUAGAUAUCACGAAGAACUCCGAUUGCGAAGGCAGCUUACCAGUCUGCGACUGACGCUCAGGCACGAAAGUGUGGGUAUCGAACAGGAUUAGAUACCCUGGUAGUCCACACAGUAAACG